ensembl:lncRNA
GGAAGAAGGCCACCUGCCGAGGGAGGCAGAGGCCGGAGCGAGGCUUCUAUCAGCCAAGGAAUGCCAAGGACUGCCAGCAGCGACCAGAGGCCAGGAAGAGGGCCUGCCUGAGCUGAGCCGAGGUCAGCUGCCCCAGCCUCCUCCCACUCCAGGCUGACCACAGCAUGCUGCCUGAAGGCCUGACAACAAGGCAGCUCUCCGGGCUCGCCAGCCUCUUUGGUGGCCAGUGGUGAGCACCUGCUGUGUGCAGGGCCGUGGGAGGAAGUGGAACACAUGACACACGACAGGCGCUGGCACGGCAUCUGCCCACCUCCAGUUCACGGAACAUUGUGUGGACAGAGUAUCACGAACUGAGCGGCCGAAACAGCAGAGCUCUACUGUCAAACAGUUCUGGAGGAGAGAAAUCCAAGAGCAAGGUGUUGGCACGGCUAUUUCUUCCUGAACCGUGAGGCCGUGGGGAAGAAUCUAUUCCAGGCCUUUCUCCUAGCUUCUGCUGGCUUGCUGGAGAUCUCUGGCAUUCCUUAGCAAGUAGAAGCAUCACCCUGUUCUCUGCUUUCAUUCUCACAUGGCAUUCUCUGUGUGUGUGUGUGUGUGUGUGUGUGUGUGUGUUUGUCUUGAAAUUUCCCCUUUUUCUGCGGCCAUCAAGGUUAUCAGAUUAGGGCGCACGCUACUCCAGCAUGACCUCAUUUUAACCAAAUACAUCCACAGCACCCCUAUUUCCAAGUCAGAUCACCUUCCGAGGGACGGGGGCUAGACUCCCACAUGUGGAUCUGGGGAAGGCACAGUGCUACCCCCACAAGCAUCUUCUCUGUGCCCCCAGGAAGGCAGGCGGCACCCAUCCCGUUGGGUGGCGCCCAGGCCUGGGGUCAGGGCUGUGACUUGCUGGCCCGGUGGCCUCCCUCUCCGAGUUCAGCUCCCCUUCAGAAUGUCUUAUGAAGUGGGAUGUUGAAUGUCCAAAUGUUGUCUUUUCAAACCCAGGACUUAUGUACAAUGUCCCGCUCUGUUGGGCAGAAGUCACACGUGUCUCCUUCACGUCCCUGUCCCCGGUGCCCAACACAGGCCUGGCAAAUUGUAGGCACUUAAUCAACUAGGAGUCACGAGGUCAAAUUUUCCCAGGGCCUUGGUUUCUGCAAACUGGGGCUAAAAACGGCAUGGACGAACCGGUUGUGAGAAGUAAAUGAAAUAACCAGGAAGCGCUGGGCACGGCAGCUGGCCCACAGCAGGCGCUCUCUGUGGCAUCAGCCGGGACCGAGUGACCGUCAUCAGAAGGCUGCAUGGAGGGUGAGGGGGGACACGGCCGGCAGCCCCCAGCUCUGCCCAAACCCCGGAUUGAGAGAGAGGCAACUGACCUUUGUUAAGGGCCUCCCAAGUACCUGGCACACUUCUGCGAUUUAUAUCCAGUUCCAUCUUUUGCCCUCAACAAGCCUUCUCCCUGUCCUGCUGGGUCAAGCCCGCGUGCACCCUGGUCUCCAAGCCUGGCCAGCCAGGCUUCCAGGUGGCUUCCCCGUCCCUGGGGACCCUGGGGGCCUGGCGUUGGUGUGAGAUGCAGAUCCCCCGGAGCAGCGAGGCCUUCAUGCCGUGUGUGUGUGUGUGUGUGUGUGUGUGUGUGUGUGUGUGUGUGUGAUCCGCCCCGGGACAAGAGGAUGGACGCAGGCCACACGGGUGCCCCGCUGCCAGAAGGAAGCCCUUUCCCCGCGGCCCUCUGGGCUCCCGGCACUUGACACCCUUGCCCAGGCCUCCAACGCCGCCUCCUCCGCGUCCCGCUGCCCCGCGCGGCCCUUCCCCGGGCUGCGGCCGGUCGAUGGCUGGGCGGCCGCCAGGUACAGAGGACGCUGGUUGUGCAAGACCUUCGGCUUUUCCGACUGUCCAGCUUCCGGCCUGCCCGGUCCAGCGCGGGCGGCUGUGCCUCCAGCAGGAGCCUCUCGUGGGGGGGCGGGACAGAGGCUGGGCUCGGUCCCCACGCCCGCACCCCUGCUCCCACCGCAGCGCCCCACGCUCCCACCCCAGCGCCCCUCCCUGCAAACUUCGCAGGGCAGCCCCGCCUGGGAGGAGGGGACCAGGAGGGAGGAGGAAAAACUGCGAGCUGGGCCUGGCUGCGUCCUCGGCCAGGGCGGUGAGGCCCGGGCAGCAGGCCCUGCAGGCCCGAGGACCAGGACCCAGGGAGCCGGGGCGCCCCCGGCCCCGCCCCGAGAGGAGGGCUCUGGGCACGCCCCUCACGCCCGCAGCCACGCGGGACUCACGCCCCGCCCCGGCGCCCGUCACAGAGCGCGAGGAGGAGCACGCGAGGGGUGUGCGACGCACGGAGGUGCCACGAGGGAGGGACCACACAGGCGGCCUUCCCUGUCUUCACCCGCCCCUCGGUGCACACCCCAGACACACUGGCCGCGCGCAUACGCGUCACACGCCACACGCACACUUUACACUCCACACACCCUCACACACCACACACGCCUCCCACUCCACACACACACCUCCCACUCCACACACACCUCCCACUCCACACACACCUCCCACUCCACACACACCUACUCCUUCACACGCACACGCCUCUGCCUCCACGCGCACGCGCACGCGUCCUCACGCCCGGCCCCGCUGUUCGCGGGGCGCUUGUGGUGGGUCGGUGCGCCCGGCGGACGGCGCGCAGCUCCGGGCUGUGGUGGCCUCGUCCGUCGCUGGAGAGAGACAAGUGCGGGUGGGCGCCAGGAGGACCCUCUGUGUGACCGCAGGGAGCCCCGCGGUGCCAUGUGAGGGAGUGAUCGUGUGACAAGUUCGUGCUGGGGAGGGUCGCCCCGAGUGUGGAGCCCGGCGUGUGUCCCACCUGCGACCGGUCCCAGCCCACGUGGCCGCGUCCUGCGAGCUCCAGAGCCGCACGUGGCCGGCGGCCGCCGGAACGGACUGCACGAGGGGGCCGCCACCCUGGCCCCCACCCCCACCCCC